UACGAAGGGGGCGAGCGUUGUUCGGAUUUACUGGGCGUAAAGGGCGCGCAGGCGGCGCAUUUUGUCAGGCGUGAAAGCCCCGGGCUUAACCUGGGAACUGCGUUUGAUACGGAUGGGCUAGAGUUCGGGAGAGGAGAGUGGAAUUCCCAGUGUAGAGGUGAAAUUCGUAGAUAUUGGGUGGAACACCGGUGGCGAAGGCGGCUCACUGGUCCGGUUCUGACACUGAGACGCGAAGGCGUGGGGAGCGAACGGG
rnacentral:rRNA from 1 species